CUGGUUUGUAAUUAAAAUGGCCAAAAAAACACAUGACAGUCACACGUCUUGAAGAUCAGAUGUCUGACAGGCAAAAAACAUAUCUGGACUUUAUUUUAACCCUUCAGAAUUUUUUUCCACAACUAUUCUAGUGAUGCAUAUUUUUGACAUUAAAUAAAAAAAAGGCUUAACAGGUCAGUUUUGUCAGAUUUGUUGUAACAUCUUUAAAAAGCGACUUUGAAUAUGUUUUAAAUUUGUCAAGUUGUAGUGGUGUUGUUGUUCUAAAUAUAGAAACCGAAAAUAACGGCACUAUGCACGCUUAUGCAGUUGAAACCGACGAAAUGUGGUUGAUACGAAAACAUAUGACAUAAGAAAACAUAUAACACGAUGAUAAUUCUAUAAUAGCUGUAAGGAAAAUGCAACAACCCACAAUAAAUUUGAGAGCCUUUCAUUCCUCUCAAUAUGAUUAAUUUUGAAACAGCCCUUCAAAAAAGUAUACAGUAACCAUGACACAUGUCAGACAAAAACUUCAGAACAUAUGUAUAUGUACACCUAAUAUGAAGUAUCCAGUUGUGUAUACCUUCUGAAACAUUAGGCCUUAUACAAUAAGCUAACACAGUAACAGCUGCCAUAUAAGAAUAUUCGAAAUCUGGAUGGCAUUUCACAAAAUUCAUCAUUUAGACAAACAAAACUUUAUCAAGUGUACUUUAAGAAUACAUUUCAUGCUUUUUAAUAUUUUACAUGUUAUCAUGGCGAUUCCAGAACUGCCCCCAAAAAGAAUCAGAGACCAGCUAUGAAAAAAGACAGAAAAAGGUAACCUCGUGAACCCUGCAUCUGUCUUGUGUGACUUCCAAAAAGUUAAUAAAGUGGUUGUUUGAAAAGAUAUAAAUGUUAUAUAGCCAAUCUAUUAGUUAAAGUGUUAUCUAGUUGAUGUAAAGUGGUAAGAAUUUUUU
rnacentral:lncRNA from 1 species